rnacentral:rRNA from 1 species
AGAAACCAACCGGGAUUGCCUUAGUAACGGCGAGUGAAGCGGCAAAAGCUCAAAUUUGAAAUCUGGCGUCUUCGACGUCCGAGUUGUAAUUUGAAGAAGGUAACUUUGUAGCUGGUCCUUGUCUAUGUUCCUUGGAACAGGACGUCAUAGAGGGUGAGAAUCCCGUGUGGCGAGGAUCCCAGUUAUUUGUAAAGUGCUUUCGACGAGUCGAGUUGUUUGGGAAUGCAGCUCUAAGUGGGUGGUAAAUUCCAUCUAAAGCUAAAUAUUGGCGAGAGACCGAUAGCGAACAAGUACAGUGAUGGAAAGAUGAAAAGAACUUUGAAAAGAGAGUGAAAAAGUACGUGAAAUUGUUGAAAGGGAAGGGCAUUUGAUCAGACAUGGCGUUUGCUUCGGCUUUCGCUGGGCCAGCAUCAGUUUUAGCGGUUGGAUAAAUCCUCGGGAAUGUGGCUCUGCUUCGGUAGAGUGUUAUAGCCCGUGGGAAUACAGCCAGCUGGGACUGAGGAUUGCGACUUUUGUCAAGGAUGCUGGCGUAAUGGUUAAAUGCCGCCCGUCUUGAAACACGGACCAAGGAGUCUAACGUCUAUGCGAGUGUUUGGGUGUAAAACCCGUACGCGUAAUGAAAGUGAACGUAGGUGAGGGCCCGCAAGGGUGCAUCAUCGACCGAUCCUGAUGUCUUCGGAUGGAUUUGAGUAAGAGCAUAGCUGUUGGGACCCGAAAGAUGGUGAACUAUGCCUGAAUAGGGUGAAGCCAGAGGAAACUCUGGUGGAGGCUCGUAGCGGUUCUGACGUGCAAAUCGAUCGUCGAAUUUGGGUAUAGGGGCGAAAGAC